UGGCCUUCACCUGUUUUCUGCUCUUUGGUCAGGUUGUUUUCUCUUUGACACAUUCCUCAUUUCCAUUCUCAAUUUGAUCUACUAGAGAUGAUUUUAUACUAUACAUAUAUAAUAAACAAUUCUAUAAGUAAUACCUUAUGUCACAUGGAAUUAUUCAGUAAAUUUUCAAUUAAAUACAAGGAAAGAAGAAGAACCCUAAAACUUUACACCAAGC
rnacentral:lncRNA from 1 species